rnacentral:SRP_RNA from 1 species
GCCAGGCGUGGUGGCACACGCCUGUAAUCCCAGCUACUCGGGAGGUUGAGGCAGAAGAAUUGCUUGAAUCCAGGAGGCAGAGGUUGCAGUGAGCUGAGAUCGCACCACUGCACUCCAUCCUGGGCAACAGAGCGAGACUCCAUCUCAAUAAAAAUAAAUAAAUAAAUAAGGAAGAUUCUGCGAGCCUGUACCUUUGUCACUUUCUCCUCUUCUAAGAUAUGGAAUAUGUUCCCAGGCCCUGCGGCAGAGCAAUUAUCACCAAACCAUGGAGUGCAGUCACACGAUGCAGUGCAUCUGAGGUCCCAGGUACUCGUGAAGGAGUUCUGGGCUCUAGUGAACUAUGACAAUUGUGUGUCCUAAGUUUGGCAUCAAUAUGGUGACUUCCUACAAGCAGGGAACCACCAGGUUGCCUAAGGAGGAGUAAAUCAGCCCAGGUCGGAAAAAGAACAGGUCAAAACUCACAUGCUGAGCAGUAGUGGGAUCGCACGUGGGAGCAGCCCCUGCAUUCCAGCCUGAGAAAUACAGUGAGACUCCAUCUCUU